rnacentral:rRNA from 1 species
UUAAGCGACUAAGCGUACACGGUGGAUGCCCUGGCAGUCAGAGGCGAUGAAGGACGUGCUAAUCUGCGAUAAGCGCCGGUAAGGUGAUAUGAACCGUUAUAACCGGCGAUUUCCGAAUGGGGAAACCCAGUGUGAUUCGUCACACUAUCAUUAACUGAAUCCAUAGGUUAAUGAGGCGAACCGGGGGAACUGAAACAUCUAAGUACCCCGAGGAAAAGAAAUCAACCGAGAUUCCCCCAGUAGCGGCGAGCGAACGGGGAGGAGCCCAGAGCCUGAAUCAGCAUGUGUGUUAGUGGAAGCGUCUGGAAAGGCGCGCGAUACAGGGUGACAGCCCCGUACACAAAAGCGCAUGUGCUGUGAGCUCGAUGAGUAGGGCGGGACACGUGGUAUCCUGUCUGAAUAUGGGGGGACCAUCCUCCAAGGCUAAAUACUCCUGACUGACCGAUAGUGAACCAGUACCGUGAGGGAAAGGCGAAAAGAACCCCGGCGAGGGGAGUGAAAAAGAACCUGAAACCGUGUACGUACAAGCAGUGGGAGCACAGGUUUACCUGUGUGACUGCGUACCUUUUGUAUAAUGGGUCAGCGACUUAUAUUCUGUAGCAAGGUUAACCGUAUAGGGGAGCCGUAGGGAAACCGAGUCUUAACCGGGCGUUAAGUUGCAGGGUAUAGACCCGAAACCCGGUGAUCUAGCCAUGGGCAGGUUGAAGGUUGGGUAACACUAACUGGAGGACCGAACCGACUAAUGUUGAAAAAUUAGCGGAUGACCUGUGGCUGGGGGUGAAAGGCCAAUCAAACCGGGAGAUAGCUGGUUCUCCCCGAAAGCUAUUUAGGUAGCGCCUCGUGAAUUCAUCUCCGGGGGUAGAGCACUGUUUCGGCUAGGGGGCCAUCCCGGCUUACCAACCCGAUGCAAACUGCGAAUACCGGAGAAUGUUAUCACGGGAGACACACGGCGGGUGCUAACGUCCGUCGUGAAGAGGGAAACAACCCAGACCGCCAGCUAAGGUCCCAAAGUCAUGGUUAAGUGGGAAACGAUGUGGGAAGGCCCAGACAGCCAGGAUGUUGGCUUAGAAGCAGCCAUCAUUUAAAGAAAGCGUAAUAGCUCACUGGUCGAGUCGGCCUGCGCGGAAGAUGUAACGGGGCUAAACCAUGCACCGAAGCUGCGGCAGCGAACGUAUCACUUAAAGCGAUUCAGCGGGUUACGAUUGACGGAGCGAAGCGACGUCAAAGCGUAUACAAAGUCGAGUCGGUUUAAGGAUACGUUCGUUGGGUAGGGGAGCGUUCUGUAAGCCUGUGAAGGUGGCCUGUGAGGGUUGCUGGAGGUAUCAGAAGUGCGAAUGCUGACAUAAGUAACGAUAAAGCGGGUGAAAAGCCCGCUCGCCGGAAGACCAAGGGUUCCUGUCCAACGUUAAUCGGGGCAGGGUGAGUCGACCCCUAAGGCGAGGCCGAAAGGCGUAGUCGAUGGGAAACGGGUUAAUAUUCCCGUACUUGGUGUUACUGCGAAGGGGGGACGGAGAAGGCUAUGUUGGCCGGGCGACGGUUGUCCCGGUUUAAGCGUGUAGGUGUGUGUUCCAGGUAAAUCCGGUUCACUUUAACACUGAGGCGUGAUGACGAGGCACUACGGUGCUGAAGCAACAAAUGCCCUGCUUCCAGGAAAAGCCUCUAAGCAUCAGGUAACAUCAAAUCGUACCCCAAACCGACACAGGUGGUCAGGUAGAGAAUACCAAGGCGCUUGAGAGAACUCGGGUGAAGGAACUAGGCAAAAUGGUGCCGUAACUUCGGGAGAAGGCACGCUGACACGUAGGUGAAGUGAUUUACUCACGGAGCUGAAGUCAGUCGAAGAUACCAGCUGGCUGCAACUGUUUAUUAAAAACACAGCACUGUGCAAACACGAAAGUGGACGUAUACGGUGUGACGCCUGCCCGGUGCCGGAAGGUUAAUUGAUGGGGUCAGCGCAAGCGAAGCUCCUGAUCGAAGCCCCGGUAAACGGCGGCCGUAACUAUAACGGUCCUAAGGUAGCGAAAUUCCUUGUCGGGUAAGUUCCGACCUGCACGAAUGGCGUAAUGAUGGCCAGGCUGUCUCCACCCGAGACUCAGUGAAAUUGAACUCGCUGUGAAGAUGCAGUGUACCCGCGGCAAGACGGAAAGACCCCGUGAACCUUUACUAUAGCUUGACACUGAACAUUGAGCCUUGAUGUGUAGGAUAGGUGGGAGGCUUUGAAGCGUGGACGCCAGUCUGCGUGGAGCCGACCUUGAAAUACCACCCUUUAAUGUUUGAUGUUCUAACGUGGACCCGUAAUCCGGGUUGCGGACAGUGUCUGGUGGGUAGUUUGACUGGGGCGGUCUCCUCCUAAAGAGUAACGGAGGAGCACGAAGGUUGGCUAAUCCUGGUCGGACAUCAGGAGGUUAGUGCAAUGGCAUAAGCCAGCUUGACUGCGAGCGUGACGGCGCGAGCAGGUGCGAAAGCAGGUCAUAGUGAUCCGGUGGUUCUGAAUGGAAGGGCCAUCGCUCAACGGAUAAAAGGUACUCCGGGGAUAACAGGCUGAUACCGCCCAAGAGUUCAUAUCGACGGCGGUGUUUGGCACCUCGAUGUCGGCUCAUCACAUCCUGGGGCUGAAGUAGGUCCCAAGGGUAUGGCUGUUCGCCAUUUAAAGUGGUACGCGAGCUGGGUUUAGAACGUCGUGAGACAGUUCGGUCCCUAUCUGCCGUGGGCGCUGGAGAACUGAGGGGGGCUGCUCCUAGUACGAGAGGACCGGAGUGGACGCAUCACUGGUGUUCGGGUUGUCAUGCCAAUGGCACUGCCCGGUAGCUAAAUGCGGAAGAGAUAAGUGCUGAAAGCAUCUAAGCACGAAACUUGCCCCGAGAUGAGUUCUCCCUGAGACUUUAGGUCUCCUGAAGGAACGUUGAAGACGACGACGUUGAUAGGCCGGGUGUGUAAGCGCAGCGAUGCGUUGAGCUAACCGGUACUAAUGAACCGUGAGGCUUAACCUU